CAAGGGUGAAGUCCAAGCUCAAAAAAGGCCCUGAGACAUCCAGUUACCUGUCACUCACACUCACCUCCCUCACCCAAACACCUGCCGCUCCCACUCACCCCCUUACGCCCAAUCACCUGCCAUGCCCUCUCACCUCCCAUGCCCAAAACACCUGCUACUCCCAUCACCUCCCACACCCUAUCACCUGCCCCUACCACUUACCUCCCAUGCCCAGAUCACCUGCCACACUCACUUCCACUCAUCUCCCACGCCCACUAGCCUGCCAAUCCCACUCACCUCCCUCUCACAGUCAGCUUCCACUAGCACUCACCUCCUACACCUAAUCACCUCCCACGCCCACUCACCUGCCACUCCCACUCACCUUCCCCCUCCAAUCACCUCCCACUCUCACUCACCUCCCACUCUCGGUCCUCCCCUCUGGCAUUAAAAAAAAGUUUUCCUUGGAGAAUUCACUCUGCGGUUCAGAACUCACUCUUGGUUCCACCUCUCGAUGUCUUUGUCCUCGAUUUGCUGCCCGUCACCCCCCUCCAUGUCCCUCUGGGGUCGCCUCUCUGACUCUGACACUUUUCCUCUAGGAACCUGGUUCUCCAUCUACUUCCGACUCCCUCCUGCCAACGUCUCCGCCUUCCAGAUCUACCCACGGCUCCACUGGGACAGGUGGCGAUGCCCCCGCUCUGAGGCUGCCCGGCGGUCGGCUGGGCCUCUCCUCGCCGAGCCCGGGGCCAACGUCCGGUCUCCCCGUGGCGUCCCCCGUCCCGGCCCCGCCCCACCUGCCCCGGGGGGAAAGGCUCCUCCCACCCCACCGGGCCCGAUG
rnacentral:lncRNA from 1 species